UCUCAGGCCAAGGAGGCAGAAUGAGAGUGAAGGUUCAAAUUUGUCACUUCCCAAUAACUGGCCCACAGACAUGUUUGUACAAGCCUUUCUGUCAUCUCUAAGAUGGGAUACUGAUCUGACUCAAAGCAAAUGCUCAGUCAAUGUGCUCAAUAAAUUAUUACUGUUGUUGUUACUAAAAGACAGUCACGAAAAGGAACCAAAGCAUGAGCUUCUGAAUGGCAGGUCAAGGGAAGAAGGCACAGAAGUUCAGAGCUCACAGUGCUGAGGCGCCCAGGGCAUUAUCAGGAGCCAACAUUCUCCUGUUUUAGAGGGAAAUCUCAUAAAUCACACUUCGCUGACAGGAGACGAUUUGGAGAGAGCAGAGAAACCUCCCUCAGUUCACACAAGCAGCUGGAGCCUGGAGCAGCUUGGACAGCUCACAGUCAAGCAUCUCUCACAGGAAACGCCCUGGCAGGAGCGAGUGCUGCCUGCCUGCCGAUGCUGUGGAACCUGCUGGGAUCUGAUUACUCAUCUCCUUAUUUCUAACUCCCUCCCAAGUUGCUCCUCCUCAGAGCCAGCACAGAUUUGGCUUUUCUCAUCAGAGAUUUCAAAGAGAGAGAAAAAUAAAUAAAUAAAACAAC
rnacentral:lncRNA from 1 species